AACGAACGCUGGCGGCAUGCCUAACACAUGCAAGUCGAACGAAGCCUUCGGGCUUAGUGGCGCACGGGUGCGUAACGCGUGGGAAUCUGCCCUUUGGUUCGGAAUAACAGUUGGAAACGACUGCUAAUACCGGAUGAUGACGAAAUUCCAAAGAUUUAUUGCCAGAGGAUGAGCCCGCGUAGGAUUAGCUAGUUGGUGUGGUAAAGGCGCACCAAGGCGGCGAUCCUUAGCUGGUCUGGGAGGAUGAACAGCCACACUGGGACUGAGACACGGCCCAGACUCCUGCGGGAGGCAGCAGUGGGGAAUAUUGGACAAUGGGCGAAAGCCUGAUCCAGCAAUGCCGCGUGAGUGAUGAAGGCCCUAGGGUCGUAAAGCUCUUUUACCCGGGAUGAUAAUGACCGUACCGGGAGAAUAAGCCCCGGCUAACUCCGUGCCAGCCGCCGCGGUAA
rnacentral:rRNA from 1 species